AUUGAACGCUGGCGGCAGGCCUAACACAUGCAAGUCGAGCGGAUGAAGGGAGCUUGCUCCUGGAUUCAGCGGCGGACGGGCGAGUAAUGCCUAGGAAUCUGCCUGGUAGUGGGGGAUAACGUCCGGAAACGGGCGCUAAUACCGCAUACGUCCUGAGGGAGAAAGUGGGGGAUCUUCGGACCUCACGCUAUCAGAUGAUCCUAGGUCGGAUUAGCUAGUUGGUGGGGUAAAGGCCUACCAAGGCGACGAUCCGUAACUGGUCUGAGAGGAUGAUCAGUCACACUGGAACGGAGACACGGUCCAGACUCCUACGGGAGGCAGCAGUGGGGAAUAUUGGACAAUGGGCGAAAGCCUGGUCCAACCAUGCCGCGUGUGUGAAGGAGGUCUUCGGAUUGUAAAGCACUUUAAGUUGGGAGGAAGGGCAGUAAGUGAAUACCUUGCUGUUUUGACGGUACCAACAGAAGAAGCACCGGCUAACUUCGUG
rnacentral:rRNA from 1 species